CCCGCUGAACUUAAGCAUAUCAAUAAGCGGAGGAAAAGAAACUAACAAGGAUUCCCCUAGUAACUGCGAGUGAAGCGGGAAAAGCUCAAAUUUAAAAUCUGGCAGCCAUUUUACGGUUGUCCGAGUUGUAAUCUAGAGAAGUGCUUUCCGCGCUAGACCGUGUACAAGUCUCUUGGAAUAGAGCAUCAUAGAGGGUGAGAAUCCCGUCUUUGACACGGACUACCAGUGCUUUAUGUGAUGCGCUCUCAAAGAGUCGAGUUGUUUGGGAAUGCAGCUCAAAAUGGGUGGUAAAUUCCAUCUAAAGCUAAAUAUUGGCGAGAGACCGAUAGCGAACAAGUACCGUGAGGGAAAGAUGAAAAGAACUUUGGAAAGAGAGUUAAACAGUACGUGAAAUUGCUGAAAGGGAAACGCUUGAAGUCAGUCGCGCCGCUCAGGACUCAGCCUUGCUUUUGCUUGGUGUACUUCCUGUUCGAUGGGUCAGCAUCAAUUUUGGUCGGUGGAUAAAGGCUCAGAGAAUGUGGCAUCUUCGGGUGUGUUAUAGCUCUGGGUUGUAUACAUCGGCUGGGAUUGAGGAACUCAGCACGCCGCAAGGCCGGGUACUUGUACCACGUACGUGCUUAGGAUGCUGGCAUAAUGGCUUUAAUCGACCCGUCUUGAAACACGG
rnacentral:rRNA from 1 species